CAAACUAGAUGGUCUCAAAACAUACAAGGUGUUGUCGUUGCCAUUAGGGACAUCCGGUAAAGUUGGAAUAGCUCAAAUUGUUUUAACGAACAUUGCACUAGCUAGAUAAAAGAGUUACCAGCUUGAACCUUAUGCAUGCUUCUCAAAACUCACUUCCAGCAACUGCCAUUGGAGAUAGAGACAUCGAGUGUUCUGUAGUAGUAGGUGGUGAUACAAGCAGCUUAGCUCCAAGACCAAUCUCAUUAGGUGGAAUGUAUUUGUUCCUUGCAUAAAUUAGAAUAUUUUCAUCAUCGGCAGAGAUAUUUUCAAAGUCUGGCUCCUGUAGAAUGUUAUGAAGUUGCCUCUGGAGUCUUUCAACAGGUGACAAAUUGCGUUUUCUACGC